rnacentral:rRNA from 1 species
UACGGAGGAUCCAAGCGUUAUCCGGAAUUACUGGGCGUAAAGCGUGCGCAGGCGGUUUUGCAAGCCGGAUGUGAAAUCCCCGGGCUUAACCUGGGAAUGGCAUUUGGGACUGCAAGGCUGGAGUGCGGCAGAGGAGACUGGAAUUCCUGGUGUAGCAGUGAAAUGCGUAGAUAUCAGGAGGAACACCGAUGGCGAAGGCAGGUCUCUGGGCUGACACUGACGCUCAUGCACGAAAGCGUGGGGAGCAAACAGG